CAUGCAAGUAGAACGCUGAGAACUGGUGCUUGCACCGGUUCAAGGAGUUGCGAACGGGUGAGUAACGCGUAGGUAACCUACCUCAUAGCGGGGGAUAACUAUUGGAAACGAUAGCUAAUACCGCAUAAGAGAGACUAACGCAUGUUAGUAAUUUAAAAGGGGCAAUUGCUCCACUAUGAGAUGGACCUGCGUUGUAUUAGCUAGUUGGUGAGGUAAAGGCUCACCAAGGCGACGAUACAUAGCCGACCUGAGAGGGUGAUCGGCCACACUGGGACUGAGACACGGCCCAGACUCCUACGGGAGGCAGCAGUAGGGAAUCUUCGGCAAUGGGGGCAACCCUGACCGAGCAACGCCGCGUGAGUGAAGAAGGUUUUUCGGAUCGUAAAGCUCUGUUGUUAGAGAAGAAUGAUGGUGGGAGUGGAAAAUCCACCAAGUGACGGUAACUAACCAGAAAGGGACGGCUAACUACGUGCCAGCAGCCGCGGUAAUACGUAGGUCCCGAGCGUUGUCCGGAUUUAUUGGGCGUAAAGCGAGCGCAGGCGGUUUUUUAAGUCUGAAGUUAAAGGCAUUGGCUCAACCAAUGUACGCUCUGGAAACUGGAGAACUUGAGUGCAGAAGGGGAGAGUGGAAUUCCAUGUGUAGCGGUGAAAUGCGUAGAUAUAUGGAG
rnacentral:rRNA from 1 species